rnacentral:lncRNA from 1 species
GUACUGUAUUAUAAGAACUUAUCAUACAGCAACAUUCGUGUGGUCCUGUUUGCACUGGGUUUUGUCACUGUAUAUGAUCAACUCAUGGAUGGGUACCCAAGUGACGAAGAUCGAGACACUAUUCUUAAAGCUUAUAUCGAACCUUUGAAUGAGAAUCCUGAUCAAUAUAGGCAUGUAUCCUCCAUUUUCGAUUUUUCCAUAUUUUGUCUCUGAAUAUAAGUGAAUUUUGAAGCAUUUGUUAUUGGAUUCAGGGGAAAAAGGAAAAAAAAUAAAAUAAAGGUUCCCAGUGAGUCGGUGCUGAAAAUAAUGAACAUGACAAGUAUUUUGGAAGUGCAGGGACAAAAUGUUCUUCUCCAGAGGGGAAAACAAAAAUUGACAGGCUCUCAUGUGCAUUUUGAUAGGGAUGUACCAAGCCACUAACUUGUAAUCAGUUGAUUGAGAAUCUCAUUAUUCUAUCUGUCAUAUCAUUUAUUUGCAGGAGAACAAAAACUAUCAACGUGUAUUUUUUACUGGUUCAAGUUGUAUCAGUUAUGGUCUUUUUGUUGAUGCGCGUAUUAAGGGUUAAAGUACUACAUUUCAGGCUGAUGCACAAAAAAUGGAAG